rnacentral:sRNA from 1 species
UUUUUAAGUAUGGACUUGAAUAUGACAGUCUUUUCACUGAUGUCCAGGGAAUUUCUACCUUACAGUGCCCGGGGAAUGGGAUCUGGGGCUAGCUUUCUUCCUGAGAAAACCAGUCCUGGCUUUUGGGAUAUGGCUUCUCAUAUCUUGAAAGUACUCUGAUAUUCUGAAAGGAUGGUUGGUUGACACUACUGAGAGUCUACAGGGAGUGUGGGAAGUUACUCUUAGCAAACCUCAUAUUUUGGAAAGACAGAACCCAGGAAAGUUUAAUAAUUCCUGUAGGGACAGGAGUGCAGGCUGAGGUUGUUCACGGGAUGCAGGUGCUGUUCAACUUCUAAGUGCGGGCUGAGUUUAAUUCAACCCCCUUGGCCAGCACAGGCCCAGACAGGGCCUGGCUCUUUCUAGUCACCAAGUUGCCCUGACUCCCUGCCUUCUAGCAGAAUAACAAUUCGGGGGCAAUGUAGCGCUUGCCUUAUCUUCUUUGGGCUAGUUGGAGUUUCAGAGCAAAUACAUUCUUCUCUAGCCGGCUUAGCUUAAAGUCUGUUUACUUGUCCCCAGGAUAGGUGAAUAUUCAGAGGGCUCUGGGAAUGAGACCCAACAAACUGGACUUUGGUCCUCUCUUGCCACCAAUCACUCUGAUUCCUCCAGCUCCUACCUAGGGGAAUGUGUCAGCUAUAGAAGCAAUCUUGGCAUGCAGACUGGGGCAUAUCUCUUUAGGAAACUAGGUGCUGGGCUCAAAGUGAGCUGGGUUUAAGGUUUUAGUCCCCACAGUUUGGGGACACAAGCCAUUCACACAGCCUGCAACUGGGUCAGCACCUAGGAGGCUUUCAAAAACUGGGGCUCAGAUUUGUUCUGACCUCCAAGUAAAAGAAAUAAACAUUCUAGAGAUGCCCUGACACUGAGAUGGUGGAAGAGGGGAAGUUUCCUCAGUGAGCUGUAGAACAAAUGCCCUAGAAACUGCCCCCUGACAAGUAUCCCACUCAACUCCAGGCCGCGAUGGUUCAGGCAGUGGGGGGAUUUUGCAGACAGCAUCCUCCUCUUUGCUCCUCUCCCCCACCCCACCCCAACCCCGCCGUGUAAACACGAGGACUUUCUCGAGAGCCCUGGAGAGCCGCUCUAGUGGCUUCGGGGCCUGAAACCCCAGGCUUGGCUUGUUUGAUGUUUAGCAUCCCAAAGCGGCUCCCCACCCCCGCCCCAGCCUGGGAACCCCGAGCUCCGGGGCCGAAGAGAAGGGGAAGCAGUUCUCUCAGCUGGAGGGCGGUGGAUUGGCUGGGCUUAGAGAAGUGGCGAAAACUACAGGACUCCCCGCCCUGAGCAGGGGAGAAAGGGAUCCCGGAAUGAUGCGGUCAUCCAUGAGGAUAUAGCUGGAGUCCUAAAGGCCAAGAGGCAGACGGGGAAAGAAAUGUCACAAUUUGGGGGAAUACACUGGAGAUAGGGGCCAGGUCGGUGGAAAUAGCUUGGGGCCACCGCGAAAACAAGGUAAGCGGUGUCUGGGUCCAGUUAGUGAGCAUCGAGAACGGCGUCCACGACUGCAGGGCUAUCAGGGCCUCGAGGAGACAGCGCUCCGUGCCACUGCUUAGUGCUUGGCCUUUCAUAGGGACGAACCUGCUUAGGAGUCUUCCAAGAGAUUUUUAAAUCCUCCGAGUCUGGACCUGGAAGCUCCAUUGGCGACGUUUGGAUCUGGCUUCGUAGUCUUUGAUUUCGAAAGCCCAGGAAGAUUCGCAGACUUUCAAGGCCGCACACACCGCAUUGCCGGGAGUCUGGGCGGCGGUGAGGACUGAGAAGCUGUCUCAAGACCUGAGUCUCUUCUCAGGCGAUCCCAGAUAAGAGGAGAGAGAGAGAGCUUUUCUGACUUCCAACUCAUUAGGGACCAGAUUUGCUCUCCAGCACAGCAAAAGGGUCUGCCUGUGACCCUCACCGAACUCACUCUUCACUGCUUUAUAGAGACCAUCAGACUCAGGACAAAUAUUCUAGUUUGGAUGCGCAAUUAAUAAUAAGAAGAUACAGGACAGAGGCGGACUGAAUGGCUCCAAUUCUCAGAAUGUGAAAGCGUAAAUCAGAACCUACUAUUUUGUAAAACCAACUUGGAAAACAAAAUUGUCAGAAGCAAAACAACAACAACAACAACAAUAAAAACCAAACCAACAACAAAACCAAGCAAGUCAGGCUGUUUUACCAAUAAAGGGGGCACUGAAUGGAAUCAGAGAUCUGAUAAGUGCCGGGAAGUUGGACUAAGAGGGACAGGAGACUUCGAAACUUCUCUGAAUACUGCUUUGCUGCUGACUUCCAAGGAGAUCUCACCAGAGCUGAGCUGAAGCCAGGACCAUAGUGUUAUUGACAUUACCCCCAGAGACAUGAAGAAACAUCUGCUGCCCCUAGAUAUGAAACCAACACAGACCAAACCAACUGUCAGUACUGCAAGUGGUCCACCCACCAAAGAGAUGGAACUCAACGUGGUAGAAUAGAAGCUGAGACAUGUGGACUUGACAGACUUGAGACUCGGCUAUUCAUCCCAGCUCUGAGAGCCCAUGCAGCUCAUUGAGCCUUCGCGACUCCUGGUUUUACUUUCAGCAAAAUGGAGAUAUUAAGACAGGUUCCCUUGUGGUCCAGGAGACCUCAAACUCUCUCUGUAGAUGAGGAUAACCUUGAAUUCCUGAUCCUCCUGCUCUCAUCUUUCAAAAUAGAUGCCUCCAAGGUGAUUUACACGUUCUUCUUGUCUUGAGGUUUGGGAUUCCCGUUUUGGGUCUGCAGAAUUGAGACAGUGCUCCAGCAAGAAUUCCAUCUCUGUCUGUUUUAUUCCCACUGAAGAGAAAAAUGACUUUAAUGGCAACAACAAAUGCUUCACUUGUUAGCCUUUCUGUUCCCGACCCUGACACAAAUAAACUAAUAUUCCAUCUACCCGGCACCGGCCUGAGCUCUGGGAUCAGUACACGUCAACCUGAACCCGGAAGAGUUCCAAGUAUCUUUCCCCUUCUCUGUCAGGUUCGUGUUACCCUGAACCUGUGAGCUCAGAAGGAAUUUUCUGGUUUUCGGGAGACGGCAGCCAUUCAUCAUAGCUCUCCACCACUGACUGACUGAGAGUCAAUUAUCAUCAAACAUCCAUCUGCCCAUGAUGCUAAUUAUUCCUACUCCAUGAUUGAGGAUUUGGAGUCGGAGACUCACCUGCAAUAUUUGGAAUACCAGUGGAGAUCCAUAUCAACAUGGAAUUUAUACAGCAGCUGGUGCCAGUCACAGCUAAUGAUGAAACUUCAGCUUAAUAAAAAGACCCCCAACUGAGUACAACCAUCUCGAAGAAAGUGUACUUAUCAAACAGCUUUCAAUCAGUUCAAGAGAGACACCUUAAUUGUGAAGAGCAAGAACCGCACAGCAGUUGUCACCAUGCCAACUUCAGAUCAAUGGCACUUCCACUGCUCUUGGUACAUAUAGCCUUGCCUAUGUCCUUAACUGCACCAACAUCCUUCCUGUUGGGAUGAGAUCUUGUCAGCUGCUAGCGUGUGAUGAUGCCUUCGUUCAUUACAUUACUAUACCCCUUAGCAAAAUUUAAACGUGUAAUGAUAAAGGUCACUACCUUUUCCUUUAAUUAAGACCUCUAUUUCUUGUUACCAGAAACAAGUGCCUAUGACAUUUUGUAUUUUCAGAAAUUAUCCUGUUGAAAUAAAGCUACACAAACAAAAUAAAA